CUGUUCAUAUGAAUUUACAGAUAUAUAUAUAUAUAUAUAUUAUUCAUUUUUCUGUUUAAAAAAAGAAAGAGGAAGUCAGACCAAGUUCAGCUAUGAAGCUUCUUCAUCUUACUCGCUUCUCAUUUUCUUGUAUCGCAGAAAUCUAAUCGAUCAACUUCAGAGAAAGAGCAAGCAAAAAGUCUUGACGAUGGCGGAAGCUUUACUCACUUUUGCUGUGGAGGGAAUCCUGGGGAAGGCAGUUUCGCUGGCUGCCAAUGAGAUCAGCCUAGCCUGGGGUUUCAGGGACGCUCUGAAACAGCUCGAGAUAUCAAUGAGGNNNNN
rnacentral:lncRNA from 1 species